UACGAAGGGUGCAAGCGUUAAUCGGAAUUACUGGGCGUAAAGCGUGCGUAGGCGGUUGGCUAAGUCAGAUGUGAAAGCCCUGGGCUCAACCUGGGAAUGGCAUUUGAAACUGGCCGGCUAGAGUGUGAUAGAGGAUGGCGGAAUUCCCGGUGUAGCGGUGAAAUGCGCAGAUAUCGGGAGGAACACCGGUGGCGAAGGCGGUUCUCUGGGCCGAUAUUGACGCUGAGGAGCGAAAGCGUGGGGAGCGAACAGG
rnacentral:rRNA from 1 species